rnacentral:rRNA from 1 species
UGAAUACGAGACGCUAAGGCGUCGAAGUAGUGUAUGUCAUACUUCCAAGAAAAGCUUGCACUGUCAUAGAUAAAAAACGCCUGUACCAUAACCGACACAGGUGGGUAGGUAGAGUAUACUAAGGGGCGCGAGAUAACUCUCUCUAAGGAACUCGGCAAAAUAACUCCGUAACUUCGGGAGAAGGAGUGCCUUAUUCGUAAGGUUGCAAUAACAAGAUCCAAGCAACUGUUUAUCAAAAACACAGGUCUCCGCUAAGUCGUAAGACGAUGUAUGGGGGCUGACGCCUGCCCAGUGCCAGAAGGCUAAAGAAGUUGGUUAGCAAUUGCGAAGCUGAUAACUGAAGCCCUGGUGAACGGCGGCCGUAACGAUAACGGUCCUAAGGUAGCGAAAUUCCUUGUCGGGUAAGUUCCGACCCGCACGAAAGGCGUAAUGAUUUGGAUACUGUCUCGGAGAGGGGCUCGGUGAAAUAGACUUGUCUGUGAAGAUGCGGACUACCUGCACCAGGACAGAAAGACCCUAUGAAGCUUUACUGUAACUUGAAAUUGAAAUUGGACUUUAUUCGCGCAGUAUAGGUGGGAGGCGUUGAUUAUAAUCUUGUGGGAUUAUUGGAGCCAUCAGUGAGAUACCACUCUUGUAAUGUUAGAUUUCUAACUUUGAAUCAUUAUCUGGUCAAAGAACAGUUUCAGGCGGGCAGUUUGACUGGGACGGUCGCCUCCUAAACGGUAACGGAGGCGUACAAAGGUUUCCUCUGAACGGUUAGAAAUCGUAUCUAGAGUGUAAAGGCAUAAGGAAGCUUGACUGUGAGACCUACAAGUCGAGCAGGGACGAAAGUCGGUCUUAGUGAUCUGACGGUACUGAGUGGAAAGGCCGUCACUCAACGGAUAAAAGUUACUCUAGGAUAACAGGCUGAUCUCCCCCAAGAGUUCACAUCGACGGGGAGGUUUGGCACCUCGAUGUCGGCUCAUCGCAUCCUGGGGCGGUAGUACGUCCCAAGGGUUGGGCUGUUCGCCCAUGAAAGCGGUACGCGAGCUGGGUUCAGAACGUCGUGAGACAGUUCGGUCCAUAUCCGGUGUAGGCGUUAGAAUAUUGAGAGGACCCUUCUUUAGUACGAGAGGACCGAGAAGGACAUACCUCUGGUGUACCAGUUAUCGUGCCAACGGUAAACGCUGGGUAGCUAUGUAUGGAGUGGAUAACCGCUGAAAGCAUCUAAGUGGGAAGCCCACCUCAAGAUAAG